CCCGGGCUUGUACACACCGCCCGUCACACCACGAAAGUCGGCAACACCCGAAGUCAGUGGCCCAACCCGCAAGGGAGGGAGCUGCCGAAGGUGGGGUUGGUGAUUGGGGUG
rnacentral:rRNA from 1 species